CGCCAUUUCAUCCCGGUGUGUUUCGGCUGCAAGGUCUUCGUGGGACGCUGUCCCGCACAGCACACAGGCAGCGGUGACCGUCCCCGCUCUUCCCCUAAAUCACAAAAUCACGGAAUGGUUUGGGUUGGAAGGGGCUUAAAGAUUCCCUAACUCCAACCCUGCCGUGGCAGGGACGCCCCCCACCAGAUCAGGUUGGCCAGGGCCCACCCAGCCUGGCCUUGAGCCCCUCCAGGGAUGGGGCAGCCACAGCCUCUCCGUGCAGCCUGUCCCAGUGCGUGAAGAAUUCCUCCUAAUGCCCGGUCUAAUUCUGUCCUCUUUUAAUUUAAGACCACAUUUAAUGGGAUCCCGACCUGCCCGGUGGGAUCUGGAGCUGUGGGUUUGCGACCCCAUCCCAGAAAAGCACUGAGAAGCUUUGCAGCCGUGGGGCUCAGCAGCCUCCUGACGGCCUGGAGGGUGUUUAUUUUUCUUGUUAAAAGGCGAGCAUGUGUUUCUCUUCUAUCCUGCUACUUCUACAGCUGCCUACUGGGGAUUUUAAAUUAUUUUUAUUAUUUUAUAUUUCAUUUACAUCUGGAGGCCCUUUCAUGCUAGGCUCUGUACAAACACAGUCUUCCCUACUGAGCUUGCAAUCUAGGCAGACAAUGGAUGAGAGAAAUUAAGUGUUAUUGGCUCCAUUUUGCAGCACGGAAUUGGGACCUGCUGUUCCGCAGAGCUUGGUCUAGGAUCACGCAGGGAAUGUGUAGGCAAGCUGGGAAGGGAACCAGGUCUCACAGAACCAGAUCUCACAAGCUCCAGUUUCUGUGCUGAGGCAUUUGUCAUCCCUCACCCUGCUGUUUCUUCAGAGCCUGCGGCGAAGAAGUGAUCGGGGCUCAUUGAAAUCGGGAGGCAUUGGUUCACAAAGCCACGCCGUGCCAAGUGCUCUGCUCAGGAAAGUGAACCACUAGGUCGGAGGCAGAGCACAGAGCAAGCGUUAGAAAGUUAAAGCUGGAAUUGAGAAGUUUCUGUGUCGCUUUGGUGCGUUGUCCACCUACUUGCAGGUGUUGGGUCGCUUUUUCUGCCCAGUCAACCAUGGGAGUGCUUAGAAGAGCGCCGAAGUGCCUAGAAAGCUGAAACGGCAGGGUGGGGAGGGUUAACAGAAGCCCUGGUACUACAGAUUGGCUUUGCACUGUUGUCCAGAGCCUGUCAAACCUGGAACCAAUGCUCUUACACAUUUACUCGGCAGGGAAAGCUGGGGGAUGCACAGAGUCCAGAAGUAGAGAGCACUUCAGCCAGGAGAAGAGACCCCAGAAAACAUCAGUGUGGCAGAUAAUUUCCCUGCAUUCCAGAGCAGUGGAGUCUUCUGACCUAGUUGUGGGCAGUACUGAUUUGAAGCUAGGGCGAUCAACAAACAGCUCGUGGCAGGAUCAGAAGGAUAUGAUAUGAACUCUUACGAUACACACAAGAUACAUCCUGUGCAGGAAAUACAAGGGAAAAACCAAAGCAGGUGGGACUCCAUGCAGCUUCACCCAGCUCUGCCCCUGGCUGCACAGGAUAUCACCCACCCCGUAUGUCACGUACUGGCUCACGGAGCUGCGCAAGAACUGCUGGCAAUUCCAGGGAUAAGCCUUUAUGUAAGCAGAGCUCCUACAACUGAAGUCCUCAUUUUGCUUGAAGGAGAUUAGCUCUGCAAGACCCUGUGAUCCAGUUCUCAUCCCAGAUGCAGAGACCAGGGACACCCUUGGACAACAGUUUCCAAAUUUUCUUUGGACAGCUCAGGAUGUGUUUGUGCUGCCGGUGGAGUCAGGGAGAUGGCUUCAGGAACUGAAAGGUGUGAAGGGAACAUGCAGCUGCGACAUUUCUGAAGCUUUAAGGUAGGUGUAAGCAACUGCAUCUUCACUAAGAUUUAUGUAAUUCUCAAUCCUAGCUGCUCUCAACAUUUUACUUUAUCACAGAUGUUGUCUUAUAGUUAACUUUGUACUUUAGAUACCAUGUGUCAAUUAUUUGGAUUCUGUCAUAAUGUUACUGUGAUUGCAAACUGCUUUGGU